rnacentral:rRNA from 1 species
GGGGUGCUCGAGUGGCGAACGGGUGAGUAACACGUGAGUAACCUGCCCUUGACUUUGGGAUAACUUCAGGAAACUGGGGCUAAUACCGGGUAGGAGCUCCUGCUGCAUGGUGGGGGUUGGAAAGUUUCGGCGGUUGGGGAUGGACUCGCGGCUUAUCAGCUUGUUGGUGGGGUAGUGGCUUACCAAGGCUUUGACGGGUAGCCGGCCUGAGAGGGUGACCGGCCACAUUGGGACUGAGAUACGGCCCAG